GGGAGGUGGGGCCGAGUCCGGGCUGGGCUGCGCUCAGGAGGCGGGCCCUGGGAGACGGAGCUUAAGGAGGGGCCGGUGUCGGGAGGGUCCCAGGGACUGGGAGGCCCGUCGGGGCUGGGCUCAGGGGCCGAGACCUAGCUGGGCUUGGGGCGGGGCCGAGACGGAGCGAGGGGUCCCGGGUGUGGGAAACGGGAAGGGGUUUGAGGAGGGGAUCGGAAUGUGGCUCAAGUUCGGGAGGCGUUACCUGCGGAGGGUUUGAGGCAAGCCCAGGAGCGAGCCCACGGUCUGCUGACGCGGGGCCAGGGGCGGGCCCCAGAAUCCGGAGCUUCGGGCGGGGCGGAGUCCGAGUUUCGGGCCCGGGAGGCGGGGCCAGUUAGGGCGAGGGUCCCUGGGAUCGACGGGUCAGGUCUUGGGCUAACGUAGGCACUCUCGCAGUUCCUCCGCCUUCAGGAAGGUCUUUUUAGCAGGGGCCUUACGGGUGCGCGCUUCGGUCCUGGAGGCCUUAUCCUAACCUCUUCUCCAUCAGCGCCACCCGUCUGGGGCCUGAAACGAGGGAGCUUUCCCUCUGUCCCCCAGCCUUUGGACUGUCACCAAACAAGCCAUUCGUUCAUCAAAUACUUUUUAAGCGCCUACCAUGUGCCUGACAAGGGAGAUGUAACGGUGAGAAAAACUAGGUGUGGUCCAGGCCCUCCAGGGGCUCAGGGGCUCGUGGAAGAAGUGGACAUUGAAGUACUUAUCACACAAAUGAGGAUAAAAGUACGAUAGCGAUAUCUACCACGAAGCUGUUGUUCCACACCAGAAGCAAAUGAGCGCAAGAUCUGACAAAGAAAAAGAAAGGUUCAUCUUUUAUUUCUCCAAACACUUUCAUUUAAAUCAAGAGGAUGGGAUGUGGUUAUUGCUGUGUUUUUAGACAGAAUCAACGGUUUCUGGCUCUGAGAUGUUGCAUACACCCUCUCAGUCCCUGUAUCCUGAGAUGGAGUCACCUGAGGAUCCACAGCAAGUCCUAACCAGGGAUGGGUCUGGGUGAUUAAGGAAGGUUGGCUUCAGAACUGGGCCAGGGGCACUGCUUUGCUUUUGCUGUUUUGAUCAGCCCUCUGCCUGCAGGAGACAAGGAAAACCAAUGAGAACAGCUGAGGAAACUGAGUUACAGAGCUUUUCUGCACUGAGUCAUCAGGAGCAAAUGCUAGAUCAGAUAGGGUCUCUUUCUCUGCCACCCAGGCCAGAGUGCAGUUGACGCAGGGCAGGGGAGCCCCGAAUUGGAGCAUAGUGUGUCCGGAACUGGUGGGUUCUUGGUCUCACUGACUUCAAGAAAGAAGCCGCGGACCCUCGCGGUGAGUGUCACAGUUCUUAAAGGCGGCGUGUCCAGAGUUUGUUCCUUCUGAUGCUCGGAUUUGUUCAGAGUUUCUUCCUUCUGGUGGUUUUGUGGUCUCGCUGGCUUCAGGAGUGAAGCUGCAGACCUUCAAGAAAUGAAGCGUCUCCUCAGGACCAGCAUUCCACGAAGGCAGCCCUUUUCUGGAUGGAGAAAACAGAACCUGAAGACACCCGUUUCCCUAAACUGCUCCUGCUCAUGUAAAUCAGACCACUACUUCUGCAGAACAUUUUACUGGUGAAAAGAACAGCCCACAUGAGGGAAAACUGAUUUGACUUCUGCAGAACAUUUUACUGGUGAAAAGAACAGCCCACAUGAGGGAAAACUGAUUUGGUGGAAAGACAACAAAACAAAACGUGGGAAAUAGGUAAGGUGAUAACAUGGGGGAGAGGUUUUGCUUGUGUUUCACCAGGAGAAAAUCAGCUUCCUGUUUGGAUACCCACUAGACAUUUGAAGUUCUACAAUGAACCCAUCAGAGAUGCAAAUGAAAGUGCCUCCGCAGAGGCAGAAAACCCGCAAUCGUGCAUCAUCGACUCGCAGGGCGAACAAAAUGGUGAUAUCAGAAGAGAUGAAGUUGCCAUCCACCAAGAAAAUGGCACAUGUGGAGAGCCAGGGAGAGGAAGAGAAAGAAAAAGAGACAGAGAUCAGAGACAGACACAGAAAGUGAGACUGGGGAGAGAGAGAGUGUAAAAGAGAGAGAGAGAGACCGUAAGAGAAGGGAGACAAAGAGAUAAAAGGCGCGAGUGAGCAGUCUACAGGUAUAUCCAGCAGCUCCAGAAAGACAGCGACCAGCGAGAAGGGGCCAUGAUGAUGAUGGUGGUUUUGUCAAAACGAAAAGGGAGAUAUGUAGGGAAAAGAAAGAGAGAUCAGACUGUUACUGUGUCUACAUAGAAAGUGAAGACAUAAGAGACUCCAUUUUGAAAAAGACCUGUACUUUAAACAAUUGCUUUGCUGAGAUGUUGUUAAUCUGUAGAUUUGCCGCAGCCACUUUGCCCCAACCACUUCGACCCAACCUGGAGCUCACAAAAGCAUGUGUUGUAUGAAAUCAAGGUUUAAGGGAUGUAGGGCUGUGCAGGACGUGCCUUGUUAACAAAACGUUUGCAAGCAGUUUAUUUGGUAAAAGUCAUCGCCAUUCUCUAGUCUCAAUAAACCAGGGGCACAGUGCCCUGUGGAAAGCCACAGGGACCUCUGCCCUUGAAAGCUGGGUAUUGUCCAAGGUUUCUCCCAAUGUGAUAGUCUGAAAUAGGGCCUCGUGGGAUGAGAAAGACCUGACCGUCCUCCAGCCCAACACCCAUAAAGGGUCUGUGCUGAGGUGGAUUAGUCAAAGAGGAAAGCCUCUUGCAGUUGAGAAAGAUGAAGACCACUGUCUCCUGCCUGCCCCUGGGAACUGAAUGUCUCUAUAUAACACCCAAAUGUACAUUUGUUCAAUUCUGAGAUGGGAGAAACUGCCCUAUGGUGGGAAGCGAGACAUGUUUACGGCAAUGCUGCCUUGUUAUUCUUUACUCCACUGAGAUGUUUGGGUGGAGAGAAACAUAAAUCUGGCUUACGUGCCUGUCCAGUCACAGUACCUUCCCUUGAACUUCAUUAUGACAUAGAUUCUGUUGCUCACAUAUUUGUUGCCGACCUUCUCCUUAUUAUCACCCUGCCCUCCUACUACAUUCCCUUUUGCUGAAAUAAUGAAGAUAAUAAUCAAUAAAAACUGAGGGAACUCAGAGACGGGUCCCACUGCAGGUCCUUGGUAUGCUGAGCGCCGGUUCCCUGGGCUCACUGUUGUUUCUCUAUACUUUGUCUCUGUGUCUUAUUUCUUUUCUGUCUCUCAUCCCACCUGACUAGAAAUACCCACAGGUGUGGACGGGCAGGCCACCCCUUCAGUAUGAGAUUACAGGCAUGAAUAACCCCACCUGGCCACCUAACUCAGUCUUGAGAGGCCAGAAGUGAUGCUGGAACUUUCUUCCUCUGUGGGUUAAAAAGGGAAAAUUAGGGAGAACACAAGGCAUGAGAGAUGCAGCGAUGGAUAUGUCUAUAUGGAGCUUCUGUCUGCAUCCAGUAGAAAAUGCAUUUCUAGGCACCAGGUUUAAGAGCUAAAACCUGGAGUCUUGUCUGUUAGCAUUCUCCUUCCCCACAAACUAGAGAGAGAAUCCAUUUUGCUCCAGCACACCCGAAUUUAGGAAAUGUCGCAUUCCUAUUUCUGUAACUUCAGUUAAAUCUGCUCUGAGUCCUUGGAUGCCUGGCAGGUGGAGAAUGCAAUCUUGUCGUUACCAGCAUUCCUUUCCCUUCUCCAUGGGCUUACACACUGUUGGAAAGCCAGGUAGGAACUACAUCCCCCGAACUCUCCAUUCUUCCAGCUGCUCAUGAUCCGUCAACAUUCUUUGGGCCACCUGCUAUAACAAGACCGUCCUCACAGCAUCAUUCCACCGACCCACAGGCUCAGCCCCAGGGACCCUCACUGUAACAGGUCUCCACUAUGCAUAGGAACUCACAAAACCUUCUCUUCAUCUUGGCUUCCUCUGACAUCCAGCCACUCCUCUGCUUCUCACCUUAAACACAGAUGGCAGCUCCUUCCCAUCGUUCCAAACCUGGGGGAUUGUCCAGCCAAAUUCUCUUCAGACACCAAAGCUUCACCCGCCCUCUUCAGGGAGAUGAUGCAAGGACAUCUGAGAUCUUUGGAAGCCCAAUUCUGGCCUCUCUUUGGGGUGGGCUGAGAGUGGGAACUAGACUCUCUUUUCCAAGUGCCAUGUUUAUCUUGUUCAUCAUUAUAUUAUCUCCAAUGCCUGGCACAUAGUAGGCACUACAGACUGACACAUAGUAGGUGAUAUUAGUGUCUGUAUAUUGGCACUCUUGAGGUCGAAGCUAUUAGCAGAAACCUGCCAAGCAAUAGGAUGGAAAACCGACCACCAAAAAAAGAAAAAAAAAAAAAAAAAGAAAACAAUCGUGGCUUUGAGCUCUAAACACACAAGGCACCAGCCCAAGUUUGGGCAAUUUUAAUACAACAGCCAUUUUGCCUCCAAACAAACUGGCACUGGAAACCUCCCUCCGCCUCUUAAAGAGAACCAUUUUCUCUUUCUCUAAGUGGGCAGCAUUUCUCCCCGGAGGCAGUACCCAGCCCACUGCCACCAGCAACGGACUGCAUCCAGGAGCCAAGAGCUUGAUAGUUUAAAGAAUAUAUUUUAUAGGGAAAUACAAAGUAACAUCCACAUAAAUCUGGAACUACCACCACUUUCCAGAGGCCAAAUCCCAUUUAUGGAAUCUCUUGCGUGUCAAGCACCUUGCAGUCAGCUCAACUACAUACUUUUGGGAUUUGUUGCAGAGAAGAGUGCAGGUUAUCUGCAAAAUAAAGGAACUAGGGCUCAGAAUUCCCAGAGCAAUCCAUGACAGAGGAGGUGAGUAGAAAAGGGAAGGGUGAAGUCAAAUGAGAGAAGUCAAUGAGUUGGCCAACACCAAGCAAGGAUCAUGGGACCCUCUCCACGGCCCCACAUCUCAAAUGGAAUCAACAAAACCCAUCAAUGCUUGGUGUAAGUGUUGUAUGCUCCUGGAAAUGAAAGCAGGGGCCACAUUUCAGGUCAGUAGGGUCGGGGGUAGAGGCAGCGGUCAUGGACUUGUGGGCCCUGGAGGAUGGGAUGAUUCUGAGACAUUGAAUCCCUACACUGAUCUCAGUAGAAAUCUCAGGUAGGGCUUCAACAUUCGUGGAUCAAGGACUCUGCGGGCCUGAGAGCAACAGCCUUGGUGCAUAUUCCGGCUCCAUCAAUCCCAACUGGGGCUUUGAACAAGUUACUUAUUUUUUUAACUAAUGUUAUUUUAAUUGACAAAUCAUAAUUCUACACAUUUAUGUGAUGUUUUGAUAUGUGUAUACAAUGUGGGAUGAUUAGAUCAAACUAAUAAACAUGUCCAUCCCCUCA